rnacentral:rRNA from 1 species
GUGGGGAAUAUUGGGCAAUGGGGGCAACCCUGACCCAGCAACGCCGCGUGAAGGAAGAAGGCCUUCGGGUUGUAAACUUCUUUUAUGAGGGACGAAAGAAAUGACGGUACCUCAUGAAUAAGCCACGGCUAACUACGUGCCAGCAGCCGCGGUAAGACGUAGGGUGCAAGCGUUAAUCGGAAUUACUGGGCGUAAAGCGUGCGCAGGCGGUUUUGUAAGACAGGUGUGAAAUCCCCGGGCUCAACCUGGGAACUGCACUUGUGACUGCAAGGCUAGAGUGUGUCAGAGGGAGGUGGAAUUCCGCGUGUAGCAGUGAAAUGCGUAGAGAUGCGGAGGAACACCGAUGGCGAAGGCAAUCCCCUGGGCCUGCACUGACGCUCAUGCACGAAAGCGUGGGGAGCAAACAGGAUUAGAAACCCUUGUAGUCC